UCGACCCACCAGCCGGAUCAGGAGAAAGAAAAGAAGACGACUGAAGCAAAGAUGAAAUCUCUAUCUGUAGCUGUUGUUGUGCUGCUGCUGGUCUUGUCUUUACACUGUGAGGACAGUGUGGUGGAGGGACAAUUAUGUAAUUUUGGAAGAGGUCAUUGUUUGGAUGCCUUUUCAUGCCGAAGACUUAAAAGAUUCCACGUUCUAACACGAUCAUGUGGUUUCGAAGUGUGUUGUCUUUUCAAAAGAAGAAGCACCGUGAACAUCCACAGCUGAGUGUUCCAUAACCCCAACCAAUAGGAACGCCUAUGGAAUCAAGAAUGAGGGAUGGGUUUUUGAACACUCCAGGUGCAGAAGAUAAAUAAUAAUGCUCAGUAAAUCAUAAAAUGUGUAUUAAAAAUGUACUCUAUUUGCUUGUUUACACAAUGUGAAAGAUUUGUCACCAUGGCAAGUUCAAGGUUUUGCUGUAAAUACAAUAAUGUAAAAUAAUGAUUUUGAUUCAUUUGCACUCUAUGUUGCCUAAUAUGUUUUCUGAUAUGUAAAAGCAAA